rnacentral:pre_miRNA from 1 species
GUACUACUCCCUCCGUCCGAAAAUACUUGUCAUCAAAAUGGAUAAAAAGAGAUGUAUCUAGAACUAAAAUACGUCUAGAUACAUCCCCUUUUAUCCAUUUUGAUGACAAGUAUUUCCGGACGAAGGGAGUACUUG